UGGAAUAUAGCCAAGUGGUAAGGCAUCGGUUUUUGGUACCGUCAUGCAAAGGUUCGAAUCCUUUUACUCCAG
rfam:Triticum aestivum genome assembly, contig: Triticum_aestivum_CS42_TGACv1_scaffold_080122_1DS